GAAGUGCGAUAAGCAAUGCGAAUUGCAGAACCGUGAGUCAUCAGAUUUUUGAACGCAACCGGCGCCGGUUGGCUCUCCAACCGGCAUGCUUGUUUCAGUGUCUCUUUAUCUCAUCACCCAUAUCAUAAUGCGAGAGAUACCCUUCUCUUGCUAAGCUCGAAAGCACUCUGCGCUCUGCGAGCGGCUUCGACUUGUUCGAGGGUCGCACUCAAUGCAGCCGUCACAUUGCUCACAAUGUGAACUCAUUGAGAGCUGAGGCAGUGUAGCGUAAGCUACCAGUGCUUAGUCACACAAACUUUACUUGCAUCUGAAAUCAAGCAGGAUCACCCGCUGAACUUAAGC
rnacentral:misc_RNA from 1 species